ensembl:lncRNA
GGACUGGGGUAAAGGUAAUGGACUGGGGUUAAGGUAAUGGACUGGGGUAAAGGUAAUGGACUGGGGUAAAGGUAAUGGAUUAACUCCAGCCGUACUUGCACCAAUCCAACACUUUUAAAUGUAUGAGGUGGAGUGAACAAGUGCACAUGGGGUACAGUGUCCUUACUGUUAGAGAGGUAGAGAAUAGGAAGUGUCCUUACUGUUAGAGGGGUAGAGAAUAGGAAGUGUCCUUACUGUUAGAGGGGUAGAGAAUAGGAAGUGUCCUUACUGUUAGAGAGGUAGAGAAUAGGAAGUGUCCUUACUGUUAGAGAGGUAGAGAAUAGGAAGUAUCCUUACUGUUAGAGAGGUAGAGAAUAGGAGGUAUCCUUAAUGAAGGACCUACUGUUAGAGAGGUAGAGAAUAGGAGGUAUCCUUAAUGAAGGACCUACUGUUAGAGAGGUAGAGAAUAGGAGGUAUCCUUAAUGAAGGACCUACUGUUAGAGAGGUAGAGAAUAGGAGUUAUCCUUAAUGAAGGACCUACUGUUAGAGAACUACUUCCCAGCUACAAACACAAACAUGGAUAUUAUUCAGCAGAAGAGACUCAUAUUUUCUUCCUCAAGUGUGCUCUUCCUUCACUCCCCCAUGUUUCUUACUCCUGUCCAUGGUGUGGAGUCAACAAGUACACACUUCUAAGGUAGAGAAUUGGGACUCAUCAAAAGGCCUUCUAUAAGAUCCUGGAUCAACCUAACCCUUUGGUCUGUUUGUCUGGUCCAAAGAGAUAGAGAGAGAC